rnacentral:lncRNA from 1 species
AACACAGCAAAGGAAACUGGUUGGUUUCCAGAAAGCACCGGGCUGCAGUAACAUCACAGAGAGAAAGCAGCCAGCACUGAGUGUGUCCUCUCAUCAGCCUGAGGAAGGCACACCUCGCAUCACUGUCCUGCAGGGAAAUCAGGCAGCUCAGUGUUUACCUCUGGCUGUUGUGCCCUCGGAAAACAAUUCAGAGGAACUUGUAGGGAUGGAGUCUGAAUCGCAGCAGUGGAAGUGAUGCAACGGGGACACUGCGAAGCACGUGAGCGACGAGGCAAAGGCUCUGUGUGAACCUGAUUGGAGUGAUAUUUGAAGUGAUCUAAGAAUACUUCAGCUGUAUUGUCAAG